GACGAACGCUGGCGGCGUGCUUAACACAUGCAAGUCGAACGGAAAGGCCCUGCUUUUGUGGGGUGCUCGAGUGGCGAACGGGUGAGUAACACGUGAGUAACCUGCCCUUGACUUUGGGAUAACUUCAGGAAACUGGGGCUAAUACCGGAUAGGAGCUCCUGCUGCAUGGUGGGGGUUGGAAAGUUUCGGCGGUUGGGGAUGGUCGCGCGGCUUAUCAGCUUGUUGGUGGGGUAGUUGCUUACCAAGGCUUUGACGGGUAGCCGGCCUGAGAGGGUGACCGGCCACAUUGGGACUGAGAUACGGCCCAGAAUGCUACGGGAGGCAGCAGUGGGGAAUAUUGCACAAUGGGCGGAAGCCUGAUGCAGCAACGCCGCGUGCGGAAUGACGGCCUUCGGGUUGUAAACCGCUUUCGACUGUGACGAAGCGUGAGUGACGGUAAUGGGUAAAGAAGCACCGGCUAACUACGUG
rnacentral:rRNA from 1 species